UGCAAGUCGAGCGGUAGCACAGAGAGCUUGCUCUCGGGUGACGAGCGGCGGACGGGUGAGUAAUGUCUGGGAAACUGCCUGAUGGAGGGGGAUAACUACUGGAAACGGUAGCUAAUACCGCAUAACGUCGCAAGACCAAAGUGGGGGACCUUCGGGCCUCAUGCCAUCAGAUGUGCCCAGAUGGGAUUAGCUAGUAGGUGGGGUAACGGCUCACCUAGGCGACGAUCCCUAGCUGGUCUGAGAGGAUGACCAGCCACACUGGAACUGAGACACGGUCCAGACUCCUACGGGAGGCAGCAGUGGGGAAUAUUGCACAAUGGGCGCAAGCCUGAUGCAGCCAUGCCGCGUGUGUGAAGAAGGCCUUCGGGUUGUAAAGCACUUUCAGCGGGGAGGAAGGCGUUAAGGUUAAUAACCUUGGCGAUUGACGUUACCCGCAGAAGAAGCACCGGCUAACUCCGUGCCAGCAGCCGCGGUAAUACGGAGGGUGCAAGCGUUAAUCGGAAUUACUGGGCGUAAAGCGCACGCAGGCGGUCUGUCAAGUCGGAUGUGAAAUCCCCGGGCUCAACCUGGGAACUGCAUUCGAAACUGGCAGGCUAGAGUCUUGUAGA
rnacentral:rRNA from 1 species